UUAUGUGAGAUUUUGUGCCAACUAUAUAAAAAAAUUAAGCCGUUAGAUGAAGAUGUGACCUCCUGCUUUGAUUUCAUGUGAGAUUUUGUGGACCACUGCCAAUUAUUCUACAAGUUCAAGUUGUUAUAUGAAGGCGUGGUUUAAUAUCUAAAAAGUUUAACAAACCCACUCAUGCGUAGGCUGGACUUUUGACCUAAGCCCGAAGCGUGAAAAUAUGUAAUUGAGGAGGCAAAUAAGGAAGGUGUGGUUUAAUAUUUAAAUAUUCAGAGAAUGCCUAUUUAUAGUUUCACUUGUCCUAAUUUUCUGGUUUCUCCAAGAACUCAUUGCUUCAGAAUUGAUUUUUACAUGUGUGAGCUUGUCAUUUUAUCUACAUGAUUUGGAGAGAAUGGAUGGCCUCCACAAGGAUGUGAUUGCAAGAAGGCUGGCUUAGAUGAGACAAAUUUCAACUGGAUAAAAAGAGGUUUUAGAAGAAUCUAGAAGAAAACUAGGUGAAUAGCUACAUAACUGGUAAAUCACAAAACAUUGGUAAGGAAGGGACAAAAGAGCAUGAGGAUUCUUAGGAUCAAAUGGCCAGAAGAAGAAAGUCUAUUUCUCCACAGCAUACUUUUCUGUGGAAGGGACAACUUAUUGGUCCAUAUCCAUUAUUAGUUCCAAAAGUUCCUGUUCUUGCCAAUACGGGUGGCAGAUGUCAAUGCACCAUAAGCGAUUCAUGAUAAAUGUUAUCUCCGAUUAAGAUCUUUAGAUUUCUUAUCAUUGUGUAUAAUCAAUGUCCUAUGCAAGUUAUCUGUUGGAAGAACUUAUCUGAACUACUUCAGCGAUGGAAAGUUUCUAGUCCCUCAUGUUUCGAAUGACUCCACUUCACUGCUUCAUUGGGGAGAUCUUGCAAUCUGUAGACACCACCCAGCUGCUCUGCUUCACAGUGAUGUAUACUAUCUAAUCGAGGUCAGCUGCUGCUCACGAUUCACUGUUGCUUAUCUUGCUCAGUCAUUGCUUGACAUUGUCUGAAAUGUAACAUCUAAUGUUCUCUUAUCAUGGUUGAGCCUAAGUCAUUUUCCAGUAUGAUCGGUUACAAAUAUCAAGAAAUUCAAAACCACUUGAGAAGGAAGUCUCUUUAUUCACACUAAGUUUGAACUCUCCAGUUCAUUAAUGGGGAACUUUCUGUUGAAGAGCUGUAAUAAGGGGUAAAUGAUCUUCACCUGUAAGAUAAAGUAUGAAAGAAGGAAGAAGGUAAGAACGAAAACUAGAUCGUCUACCUAUUCACUUGGGUGAAAGAAGGUUUUAUGGAAAUGGGGAGUUGUAGUUGAUUCUAAGCUGCCCUGCCUUGUGAAAGGUAGCUACACUGCAUGUGGAAGUCUCCAGUCAUUAAGAAUGGAAGAUUGAGUGCAGAUUAGUCACGUUUAUGGCCAUUCCUUUAAUAGACUUGGCUUUCAUUCCAAGUUCGAUAUUCUGUCAUCAUAAUUCCUGGAAAGAAGUUCCUCAGUUUAUGAGACCGAAGUUCACUGAUCUUACCUGUAGGUGACAUCUACACUCAGAUUUUCUUGUGUUGUUUGCAUAUUAAUAAAUUUAUGCAAUAGAAUGGGCUAAGAGCGUCAUCAAUUCAACUAUUGAAAGGAGAUAGAAACACUGAACUGAACCAUGAAUCACUUUCCUAAUUAGGAAAGAAACAGAAUAAUGAAAUCCCUGAAAACUGAGAGACAAUUUUUCUAUGAUUGUCAUCCUAUUAGCAUGUUCAUGUGUGUUAAGGGACUGAAGUUGGUGGCUUGGUUAACAUUGCUAGAACUUCAGUGCUAGAGACCUCAGUCCUCAUUUCUGAGAUCUUGUUAAUUCUUCCUUUUAAGAUAGAAUUGUUUCUGAACCUAUCAAUAUGCAGGAAACUUAUCUAAUGAGAAGCAGCUGACCAAUUCCAGACACAACAUAAUGCAGAGCAGAACGGUUUUGACACAGUUGGUACCUUGCAGAAAUAUCUGAACUCCUCGGACAAUGAGACUAGCUUUGCUCAUUCCGAGAUGCAGUUGCUGUAUGUAUCCGUACCUAUUGAUGGCAUUUGUUGCCUGUUCAAAUAUGAACAUCAGCGAGAUGUUAACGAUGACUUCUUUUUCAAGUACUGAAAUCAACUCAAUUAAGCAUCAAUCUGAGGUAUGGAAGAUGAAUCAGGGUAUGAACAUGGUCUCAAUGCCAUAUUGGGAGGAUUGGAUGCAUAGUUAACUGUGGCUUGUCAAUGAGAAAAGUUGUAACUGACUUUGAAACAGAAGAUGAGAUAGUUACUUGUGCAUUAUCGUGUAGAAAAGCUAUACCUGAUUGUCAAAAAAAUGUUAUGAGGCCCAUAAAGCUGGGCCUUUUGCCCUAAUCUUUAGAAGAAUGUUGUAUUAAUUGUUAUUUUUGGAACUUUGGGUUUCCCAGAUGCAAUUCAACAAAUUAAUGUCUUGAAAUGAUUAGUCUGUUCCCAUCCUUAGUACCAUUUGAUACACUUACACCUAAAGUUCGGCCGAAAAUGAUACUCUUGUCAUAAAAUUUAGUCCCUGGAUGAUAAGAAGGAGAGGCUCGUAGUUGUUUGCAAUUCUCUCUUGGUCUGACUUCACUCUUCUCAAAUUAAAGAAAAUAAUGGAUUUCUCAACAACUGGAACUUGGUUCAUUCUGCUUUGUCCGAGUUUCUACGCACUCAUAGCAGGAACACAAAGUGAUUGAAUUUUUCCUUUAAAUGUGGUAUUUUACUUCCGUCCUUUGAGACCUUAACUAGAUAUGCUGGUGUUUAUUCUGAAAAUAUUGUAAUAGCUUGAGUCAUUGACCACUCAGUUACUUGGUGUCUUGCUGUGUGCUUGUAAGUAGGCAUAGGGCUGAGAGAAAUUAGACUGAUGAUUCUUAAUUUACUCAUUUCUCAUUAAAGAUGACUGCUUUAUCGACCGGUGACUUGGUCCACAUUGGGUGAUCCAAGACCUUGCUGUCAUUAAGAUAUUGACUAAAAGGUUUCCAUGCAUAACAUACGCAAGGCUCGGUGCUUUCUUCCUUCCUCUUACUAUCUGGGAAAUUUCAUUUUAGACAGCUGACAUCAAUUUAUUAUUUCUCCUCAGUUUACAGAAAUCAAAGUGACCGUCUGAAAGUGGAAGUGAUCAUAGAAGUAAAAUUCAUGAAAAGAAAAUGGGCACUACAAUUUCACUACUUAUUUACAGCCUGUAUAUGUUUGACAUAAUUAUUUGAGAGCUUCUUUGACUAUAGAGAGGUAUAAUUUGAAAAGGGUAAUGAUUAAUGCUCUUAUGGUUCAACAAAAAGUGUGAGGUUAAAACCAACCCAUUCUUCCCUUCUCGACUCUCUCUCUCUCUCUCUCUCUCUUAACUUAAUAGUUGAAACAUAAAAAGAUUGAACAUAGAAUGUCUUACAGGUAGCUACGGUUGAUAUUUUUGCA